rnacentral:rRNA from 1 species
UGACGAGCGGCGGACGGGUGAGUAAUGUAUGGGGAUCUGCCCGAUAGAGGGGGAUAACUACUGGAAACGGUAGCUAAUACCGCAUAAUGUCUCAAGACCAAAGCAGGGGAUCUUCGGACCUCGCGCCAUCGGAUGAACCCAUAUGGGAUUAGCUAGUAGGUGGGGUAAAGGCUCACCUAGGCGACGAUCUCUAGCUGGUCUGAGAGGAUGAUCAGCCACACUGGGACUGAGACACGGUCCAGACUCCUACGGGAGGCAGCAGUGGGGAAUAUUGCACAAUGGGCGCAAGCCUGAUGCAGCCAUGCCGCGUGUAUGAAGAAGGCCUUAGGGUUGUAAAGUACUUUCAGCGGGGAGGAAGGCGAUAAGGUUAAUACCCUCAUCGAUUGACGUUACUCGCAGAAGAAGCACCGGCUAACUCCGUGCCAGCAGCCGCGGUAAUACGGAGGGUGCAAGCGUUAAUCGGAAUUACUGGGCGUAAAGCGCACGCAGG